AGAGAGAGAAAAAGCAAGUGUAGCUGCACUCACGGUUAGGAGUAGAAUUUUUGAAUUUCUUUAGCUUGAGUGCAGGGAAGCUUUCUAUAUAUAUAUAUAUAUAUAUAUAAAACCCAUCAUUUAGUUUGACUAAAAUAUGCAAUUAAGGGAAAAAAGACUAUAGUUCACACUUUUAUAUAAUAAUUUGUACUCCAUUGAGACACAUCUUAGGAAAAUCAUCUUACAAUAUGUUAAUAUGCUUCUCCUGAUCUUGGAAAUUCCUUGUGAGUAUAGCAAUUGCACCAACUCUUAAAGAGUUGGUGCAAUUACUCAUGAAGUAACCCUCACACACCCACACAUGUUUUUGAAAAGCCAGCACAGUUGUGUUUUUUUUGUUUUUGUUUUUUGUGGAUUCUAUUUGUGAAACCUUUUGUUUUUUAAGAUUUCUUUGAAAGAUUUGCAUCAACUUAGAUAAAUACUUCAAAAUGUAUUCUUCAAAAUUAAGUAGAUGGCUUUAUAUUAUAUAUACUUUUUUUCUGGCUAUACCUGUGUUUCUGAAUAUUUAGUGUUAUUACACAAGCUGAAUUUUACGUUUAUAUUUUUUAAACACAGUCUAGCAAAAUUCCCUUGGUGUCUUUUUGUUGUUUUGAUCCAGACUUAAAGUGAGUGGUAAUUUUAUUUACCAUAUUUUAAGUGUUUCAUGAACACAUAAGUAAAAUACUGCUUUAGUGAUAUUUUAAAGCAUCCCAGAUAGUUGUGUGUGUGUGUGUUUAUGUUCACUUAUUUUAAAGUCUGUUUUAAGCAUGCUUAUUACGAUUGUUUCUUUCAAGAUUUUUGCACAAUUAACUUAUUUUUAAAUCUGACUAGAUUUCUUUUUAUUUUAACUUCUAUGCACUUUAAUUUACAUGCAGUGCUGAGCACACCAGACACAGUAUGUGAAUUACUUAAUGGUUCAUUCUAAAUUUCCAAGAAAUUGUGAUAUAAAGUAAACAAUUAACUUUUGCUGUGCCACACAUGAGGUGAAUGUGCAAGUACAGCACUGCUAAAUAACAUGCAUUCCUAUAGAAUUUAUCUGUAGAUGCCUAAACUAAGCCCGAGGAAUCAUGGGGCGACUUUGUUGCCAACAAAGGGGAGGUUCGGCAGAGGUAAGUUUUUUCACUUUAUGCAUUAUUCCCCCCAGCAAAUGCUGCAAUACCAUUUACUGGGGUGAGGGAACAAGAAACUGUCACUUCUUUGGAAGUGACAGUUCCACCUUAAGUGCUAAGGUGGGUGCUGGAUCCGCAUUGCUUUAAAUAUUAACAUCUUGGUACAGUAAAAUUUAAAUUGGUAGCUGUAUUCAUCUGUGAUUUUGCUUAAUUGUUACCAAAGUGUGCCAUGUGUUUCAGGAAUUAUUUUUGCAACAAAGGUGAGUAGUAGUAAAACCCAUAGUUCAUAAAUGCAUAUAAAAUCUAUCAGUCUUUAUGGUAAACAUGUAAUGAACUUGUUAAAGAUGUUACACUUAAUCCUUACAGAAUGCAAUCUAUAAUGUAUGUCAUAUGUAUCAAUUGUAACAUGCUUCCUGUUCUGUACUUCAAUACAUGAUUUUUAAUUACUAUAGGAGUUUAAAGUGUGUGUUAGCAUUCCAAGCCCUGUGCUGAAUGUAAUAUUUAUUAAGCACUUUAUGUAAAGAAAUGCUGCAGUGUCAUACCACAUCAUUAUUGGUGUUUGUAAUUGACCAGUCAUGUACUACAGAGCACUGUCAUUCAUAUGGAAAAAUAAACAGUUUUUUAGAAUAAAAAUAGCUUCAAUCAUUCUUGAUAUUUCUUCAGGCUUGUCGUGUAUUUAUUCAUCAUACCAUGCUUGAUAUCCUGUACAUUGUAUGUGUGUUAGCAUUUCAGUCCAUGUUCUGAAUUGAAAUGUUAGUCGAGCACUUUAAUGGUAAUAAAUGCUGCCAUGUUAUGCUAUUAUAUAUAUAUUUAUAUUUGAUUAUAUAACUUACCAUACUGUACUACAAAGCUGUCUUGUCCAUGUUCAAAAAUAAACUGGUUUUAGAAUAACAGAAA